CUUUUCUCUCUCUCUCUCUCCUGCUCCGCGCACCACCAAUACCUCGUACUCCGUUCUCCCUCCCCGGUGUGCUUCUGGUGAUGUGUGUUGUUUGUGUUGAUGAUUUGUUCUGCCACCUUCCUUGAUUUGCCCCCCCUCUUGUACUUUGCGUCGCCGCCGCCACCGACAGUGACGUUUCGAGGUUUCCAUGCUUGCUACACUACUUGAUUGGUUUCAUUGUGAGGUAAUGCCUCUCUUAUACAUUGAAGAUUGUUGUUGUUGAUGAUGUUAUGUAUCUCCCUCUCUUUUCGCGGCUCUCCUCCCCUGCCUCUAUUGUACUCCCUCUCCUUGUCUGAACCCGCAGAGCUGCUGCUUGUGUUUUUGUUGUUGUCGUUGUUGAUAUUGGUUGUUGCUCAUGUUGGUAAUUCCUACUUCAUGCCUUUCUAUUUUUUUUCUAAAGGUAUAACCCAAGGCCAAUCUUUUCCUAUCAUUUUAUUAUUUAUUUUAGCUCAAUUCCAUUGUAAUAGUUUUAUGGAAUGAAAUUGUCGUUGGUUAUUAUUUUGAUUAUAUAGAAAUGGUUUUAAUUAAAUUAAUUGAACAAAUUUGAUAAUUUAAGUAAGCAAGUCAAACUGAUAUUUCUUCUUCUAAAAAAGUUUCUAAAUGAAAUAUGAUUGAGUUUUCCAAAUUAAUUUUACUAAUCAAGUAAAAAUUUUAAUUAUAGUUUCAAUCAUAAUCCAUGUCUAAUAACCCAAAUCGGUUUUCUUGAGGUAGAAUAUGUGUCAUGAUAAUUUCAUAACUAUGUUUUCGAAAAUCAUUUAAGAUUCUAAAGAGUUCAUCAAGUUCUAAUUGAUUAUAGUGAGUAGUUUGUUAGUUCAAGUCUUUCUUGUUGAGAUAAUUGACUGGAGAGGGGUUAAAGAGAUUUGAAUCAUGGAAUUAAGCGGGGCAUGAUGAUUGAAUGAGGCUUGGGAUUUAUGUGUGGCGGAUCGAGGUACACAUUGUCCAACUGUCUUCGUUGUUUGAUAUAUAUUUUCUAAAUUAAUUUUAGCAAAUGGUGUAUAGUUGUAUAUAUAUUCUUAUAGUUAUGAUUGUUGGUUUGUAAUGAAUUUUGUUUAUUGAUUUGUUUAAAUGAAAAGAUUUAUUGAAUUAAUUUAUUUGUGGAUGAAAUGAAACUGUUUUGGAUUUUGAAAUACUUGUGAACGAGCUAAGAAUACACGUUUUAUGAAUUAAAAGUACCGAUUUUCAUGAAAUACCCCGGAGUUUUAGCAUAAAUCACCAAACGCCCAUCAAGUUUCAAAAAUACAUAAAAUGCACCUCACAAAUUACUUAAUACCCAAGAUACCCUUACUAACUACGCGUUGUUAAUCCUUCGUUAACCUAGUUUCAUAAUUCACCAAGUAUCCCUAUUUUAAUACGUACUAGUUUUAAGCCCGUGCGAUGCACGGUUUGGUGUUAAUAUGUUGUGUUUAAAAGCUUAAAUUCUAAGAAUUGAACAAUUUCAAGUACCUUGAAACAAAAGGCAUAACAUGAAUUGUAUACACCUCUACGGCUCUACCUCUAGCCCACGGAUUCAUCUUCAAACAUAUCAAAAUCUCCACACACCUACUCCAAAUAUCAAGCUCGCUAUAUAGUCUAUAGAAUAUAGCAAGCCCGGUUUACUCAUAAACACAAGACUUUAAUUCAUGAUAUAGAACACUCUUGCCUAAUUCACACACCAAAGAAACACUUAUAAGAGACCUACAAAUUAAAACCAUUAUAUUUGUUCUCACCUCACGAACAUUAAACAAUCUCUGUCAUUUAUGUCCACAGGUAAAAGAAUGGUCAUAUUAUACAAACUAUGGAUAAUUGAUAUGAUAUAUUUGUGGCUAAAGAAAACUAUAUGAAACGAAUCUUAGGCCUAUAUGAAGGAGGUGGGAUUGGCUUGAAGUCUUGUACUCACAAUGAGAUGAAACAUGUAAUCAUAUACACGGUCCAUGUGAAGGUAUCCAUGUAAUCUUGACCAGCUUUGCCAAUGUUGUGAGCCUGCGACCUUCGGACAUUACAAAUCAUAAAAACAUAUCUUGAUCAUUAUUGAAAAACAAAAUAAGUAAAUCGUCUCUUUAAAUAUUUGUACUGCAGUAGUUUGCAAGUUGAUCUCCUGGGUCAAUCCCAAUAAGAAAAUUAUCCUAUUCAUGUCAAUACCAGGGAAUUUGAUUCCAGAAGCAUAAUACUCCGUAAAAAAAAACUCUUAAAUAACAUUUAUUAUUAAUGAUAUAAAUUAAUUAGCUUACAAUUUUGUAUUUAUCCUUUCUUUUGCAUAUUUUUGAUAUUUAUCUUAUAGCUCAAUACAAAUAUAUCUUAUCAUAUUAUUAUAUUUUAAUUUAGUUUAAGAUAAAAUUAAUUCUAAUUUUUAUAAUUAUACAAUCCUACGUGCCAUUAAGUUUUCUAUGUGGGGCUCUAAUAUUGGAUUAAUGUUUGAAGUUUAUUUUAGAUUUGAUUUAUUUAUUUAUUUUUAGAGUGUUUAAUUUUGGAUAAAGUUAUAUAUAUUAGUAAUUAAUUAAUUAAUUAAAAUAUCUAUGUAUCAUCUAAUUAAUUAUCUACGUGGCACUCAAUUUUUUUUAUUUCAAAAAUAAAUUAGAAAUCUUAUUUUUCAUUGGCCGAAACCAUUAGUAAUCCUACUUGGCGCUCUAAUAUUUCAGCAAAAAUGCCUCCUUUUUAUAUACUUCCUCCAUUUUUUUUAAUUGCACCAUCUUUGAUUUCACGCUUGCCAAUGCACUAUUUUAACCACUAAUAUCUCUCAUUAUACAUUUUAAAAAAUUAUAAAAUUUUGAUGAUUUGAAAGUAUAUUUCGAGACGAAUCUAACAAGAUCCCACAUGAAUAUAUUUUUCUUUUAAUAUAAAUCACAAAAAAUAACUAUAUAAGAAUAUGUGAAUAGUGCUAAAACCAAGAUGGUGCAAUUAUUAAAAAAUGGAGGAAGUAUAUAUUAGAUUUCACCAUAUACCCUUAUUCUCAAACAUAAUUCACCAAAUAUAUAUAACUUAAAACUACCAGUUUUGAUAUUCAACAGCUAGGUUUUGUGUUUGAAAUUAACUGUUGCUUAUUGUUUGCUUAUAAAUACCCAUUUUCUGACUGUUUAUUGUAGCUUAGACAUUGUUUUGUUAAUUUCAUAUCAUUUUGUCAUGAGUUUUCUUUCAACAUCAUCAUCCACAUCCUAUGAAUCCACAUUUGUAAGAUUCCCAAACAAAUUAUGUUAUUGUGGGAGGUAAGAACUUUUUUGUUUUGCACAAUGCCUUCUUGAUCCACUAAAGUCAUGAUAAUAUCAAAUGCUUAUUAUGAACAAACUUAGUAUGAAGAGAAAAUAAUAAUGAUUCCUAUAAAUUAGUGGUGAGAUUAUGUAAGCUACUUUAUAUAAUAUGACAAUGCGAAUAUCUCCAUGAUUAUUUUGAAUCCUAUAUAUUGUGUAGCUGUGUAUUGAGUGGAACACACAAUCGGCAUUAUUAUUUUCUCUUCUUACUACGUUUGUUCAUAAUUAACCUUUGAUAUAAUCAUGGCUUUAGUGGAUCAAGAAGGCAUAUUGUGCAAAACGAAAAAGUUCUUACCUCCCACAAUAACAUAAUUUGUUUGGGACUCUUAUAUACGUGGACUCAUAGAGCGUGGAUGAUGAUUUUGAAAGAAAAAUCAUGACAAAAAUGAUAUAAAAUCAAAAAAACAAUGUCUAAGCUACAAUAAACAUUCAGAAAAUGGGUAUUUAAAAGGAAACAAUAAGCAACGGUUAACUUUAAAACACAAAACCUAGUCGUGGAGCAUCAAAAUUGCUAUUUCUAAGUUGGUAUUUGGUGAAUUAUGCUUCAGAAUAAGGGUAUUUGGUGAAAUAAGUAUUAAAAUAGUGAUAUUUGAUGAAUUAUGAAACUAGGCUAACGGCGGAUUAACGACGCAUCAUUAGUAAGGGUAUCUUGGGUAUUAAGUCAUUUGUGAGGGGCAUUUUAUGUAUUUCUGAAACUUAAUGAGCGUUUGGUGAAUUAUGCUAAAACUUAGGGGUAUUUCAUGAAAAAACCGUUAAAUUAUAAAGAUAUCUUGCUUGAGGUUGGAUUUGUGAAUAAAGUACUAAAAUUGUUAGUGAUGGAGUAUGUCAACGGAUCUAAAAGGAUGUGAAAUGAUUGUGAGUGAUCUAAGAACGUGUGUUCUGAGAAUUGAACCUAUCGAGAAUACUUGAGGUUGAAUUUGUGAUUAAGUUAGUGACAUGCAUGGUUAAUCAUGGAUUUUGUGAGUGGAUCUAAAGGUUAAGAGUCUUAAACAAGAAUUAGUCGUAAAUUUAGUACGUUAAUUUUUAAAGGAUAGUCUUGGACAUAAUGGAACUAAUCUUACUCGUGUUCCUACGGUUUAAUGUUGAAUUAUAAGGGUUCAAAAUUAAAAGUUAGCAUAAUCAAAGAUAUAAAUGAAAACGAUCUUAAAGGUGUUGUUUUUCAAGGAAGGUUUUGAUCUUAAAAGGAUAAGUUUUUUCAAGGAAGAUUUAUAAUUUAGUUUUACCGAAUUAUACUUUCUUUGAAUUUCUCAAAGUAGCAUGUUUUUCUUUCCUAAAAUUUUGAAUGAUGGAAUAGAAGUAGUUUUGGAAAACUCUAAAGAUCUUUAAUGAAUAUAGAGAUUAGAAUAACCAUUCAUUGUAAUAUAUUUGUUGUGAACGUGUUUUUAUGAAAAGACAUUAAUUUUACAAGGAAAAUAAUUAUUUCAAUAAAGUCUUACAAAAAUGAUUUUAUAUAAAGAACGAUCGAUGAAAUGAUUUUUUCUUAAUUAGAAACUAAACUAUGGAGUUUUGAAACUAGUGAAUCUAUAAAGAAACUACUAAGUAUCAUUUACUUGAUAAAGAUUAUUUUUAAACAUUAAAAUUUAUUUAAAUGUUUUGUAAAAUACAUUUCAGGCACACUAAGCUCACCUAGUUAAACUCAACAUUUAUAAUUAAAUCAUACUAUGAAUCUAAUCAAUAAUUCUCUAGAUUCUCGAUGAAUUUAUAUUAAGGAUGUUACCCUUUAGAGUUCAAAUUAUGAAUUAGUGGGAUAAAAAAUUUAAUGAAAGAAAUAAAAUCAAGAAAAGUGUUCAUAUCCUAACUAGUCCACUACGGUGUGAGUGGUGUAAGUACAAAAAGUCAACGAGUCUUGAGAAUGUUCAUUAAUCGGGUUAAGGAAUCAUUUUGAGAAGGAAAUUGAAUUGAAUUAUAAUGAAAAAGAAGCAGAUACAUGAUUAAGGGAAUGCGAAUAAAGUUUUGAGAUCGAAAUCUUAUAUAUAAGUUGUUAAUUAAAUGCUGUGUUAGGGGAAACUAGCCGUGUAUGUGUUGUGUGGUGCUUACAUGCAUCGGUGAUGAAAAACAUUGGAAGGGAGUGCUACAACCGUAGAAUCGUGGUAAACGGGCUUGACCCAUAUUUGAAAGUGAGUGCUACAACAGUAGACUCGCGGUAAAUGGGCUUGACCCAUAUUUGGAAGCGAGUUUUACUCAUGGUAAGCGGGCUUGACCCGUAGUUAGGGACAUGUCCUAGUUAAGUCUUGCAAGCGUAUGUUUAUCAGGAGGACAACGACCCCCAUGGUAUAGAGACAGUUGGUCAUGGUGACCCCUGUCUAUUCGUGUUCACUUUCCCCAAAUAAAAAACUAUUAUGUUGAGAUUGAAUUGUGUAUUUUCGCAUUGAGUUACAAAUUUGUUAUGAAUAUAUAUCAUGCAUUUGAAUUGUGUAUGAGAAUUUUAUGAAGCAAGUUAUAUGACUUUGGCAAUGUUGUGCCAAUGAAUUUCACAUUGAGUUGUAUAUAUAUAUUGGGUUUCACCUUUUGGCAUAAAUUAUGGUUGGGAAAUUUACAUUGGAGAAAUACUUGGGCUGUUGGUAUGAGUAAUUGUCGAAUAAUGUUAUGAUUGAAAAUGAUUAUGAGUAUGAGAAUCACUAGAUGAAUCAUAAGUAGUGAGCUUAAUUAUUGAUGAGAUUGUGAAUUGGGAAAUCAUGUGAGAUGUUAAGUAAGGUUUCAAUUUGCAGCAAGUAAUACUAUGUUAUAUUAUUAAAUCUUUGUUUGAAUAAUAUGGAAUUCGUGAAAUAGAUUUCAAAGGAAUUAUAACGUUAUUAUCGAGUAAUGUUUUCCAAGUGUGUUGAAAAGGUGAAGUUGCUUUUCAAAGAAAAACAUAAAAACUAAAGUUAAAAUGAGCCUCCUAUCAAAUGCAUUUCAGAUUGGAUAAUGUGUACUCAUAUUACCGCUGAUUUUGUUCUAUGAACAUGUCCUAUUGGGGGCAGAGUUAAAUUGUUUUGCAGGAUGUAAUGGUCGAGUCUAAGUUCAGGUGUAGAAGAUGCUUAGAGUUUUCGGAAGGUCUGAUAUGUUCCAAGGCUGGAGUAUGAAUUUUCCGUUGAGUUAUUCUAGAGUUUAUUAAUGGGAUGUAAUAUUUAUUCUAAGAGUUUCUAGUUUAUAUGUGGAUAUCAAAUCCCUGUUUAAAGAUUGUAAUUAAGUUAAGUUUGUUUCAUUUAAGACUAAGUAUGCAUAGUAAGCAGCUCAUUAUAGGCGGGCUAUUAUAAGUCCUCUCCCCCUUUUUGCAUCAAGAAAAAUUUCCCGGUUGGCAGAAACUGGUUGUUCAUACAAAUAAUACGAACUACUUCGUACAA